rnacentral:misc_RNA from 1 species
GUAUUUUCGAAUUAGGUCAAUUCAAUGAUACAUUGCUUCAGACAAAACUGGUUUAAAACAGAUUAAUGAUUAAAGAUAUCCAACUCCCCGCGGCCCAAAAAAGAGACGCACAAAGCGGAUUUCAAACGUUGCACACAAGGUGGGUAUGGAAUUUUAAAAGUGCCAUAAACACUUAUUAUGAAUGAUCCUUCCGCAGGUUCACCUACGGAAA